rnacentral:rRNA from 1 species
GCUUACGGCCUUACCAACUUGGGCACGCCCGAUCUCGUCUGAUCUCGGAAGCAAAGCAGGGUCGGGCCUGGUUAGUACUUGGAUGGGUGACCGCCUGGGAAUACCAGGUGCUGUAAGCA